rnacentral:tRNA from 1 species
GGAAGGUGGCUCAGUGGUAGAGUGCUUGCCUGAUAUAUAUGAGGCCUGGGGUUUGAUUCCUCAGUUCCA